rnacentral:rRNA from 1 species
AUUGAACGCUGGCGGCAUGCUUUACACAUGCAAGUCGAACGGUAACAGGCCGCAAGGUGCUGACGAGUGGCGAACGGGUGAGUAAUGCAUCGGAACGUGCCCAGUCGUGGGGGAUAACGCAGCGAAAGCUGCGCUAAUACCGCAUACGAUCUAUGGAUGAAAGCGGGGGACCGAAAGGCCUCGCGCGAUUGGAGCGGCCGAUGUCAGAUUAGGUAGUUGGGGGGGUAAAGGCUCACCAAGCCAACGAUUUGUAGCUGGUCUGAGAGGACGACAAGCCACACUGGGACUGAGACGCGGCCCAGACUCCUACGGGAGGCAGCAGUGGGGAAUUUUGGACAAUGGGCGCAAGCCUGAUCCAGCAAUGCCGCGUGCAGGAAGAAGGCCUUCGGGUUGUAAACUGCUUUUGUACGGAACGAAACGGUCCGGGUUAAUACCCUGGGCUAAUGACGGUACCGUAAGAAUAAGCACCGGCUAACUACGUGCCAGCAGCCGCCGUAACAC